rnacentral:rRNA from 1 species
AUAUGCUUGUCCCGAAGCUUAAGCCAUGCAUGUCUCAGAGUAACGUAAUGGCGAUGGAGGAAUCUGCGAACGGCUCCGUAUAUCUGUUGUAACCCACCCCCUCUAAGGGCCGAGGCGUCGGUAUAACCGCGGUAAUUCUGGGGCUAAUACAUGUAACGGCUUCGUCCGUCGUGGGCCGCUCCCCUUGAGCGCGCUCGGGCCUUGCCGGCUGACCACUGGGGGGUUCGCCCCCUGGCGCGACGCGGGCAAGUACGCCUUACCGCAGCAACGCAGUGGAGAGCGGGGUGGGCUUCAGACCUAUCAACUAGGCGGCCGGGGAUGGUCCGGUCGCGGUCACAACGGGUACAGAGGAUCAGGGUUCGGUCCUGGAGAGGUAGCCUGAGAAAUCGCUACUACUUCUAAGGAAGGCAGCAGGCGCGCAACGUUCCCCAUGGGGACACCCUGAGGACGUGAAGGGACAUACCAAUGCCCGGCCCAGAAAGCCGGGCAAUUGGAAUGGGGGACCUUUAAACCCCGCACCGAGUAACAAUUGGAGGACAAGUCUGGUGCCAGCACCCGCGGUAAUUCCAGCUCCGAUAGCAUCUCAUUAAGUUGCUGCAGUUAAAACGCUCGUAGUCCCAGCCAGUGCGCCCCGGAGGCCCCUUGUACAACUCCCGGGCCGGGCCGGACCCGCCCGCAAGGGCGGGACCGGUCCGCCGGGGGAAGGACCGGGGAAGCUGGGCCACUCUCCGCUGGGGGUGCCGGAGGCUUGGGGCUUCAGUGCUGCCGGGCCCGGCCCCUGGCAACAUACCUUGAAUAAAUGUGAGCGCUCCACGCAGGCCUUACGGCCGCACAACCCGCAGCAAGGAAUACACGAACAGGGGCCUGCCCUGCUUCAGUGGUCGGGGGCGGGUCAAUGAUAUAUAGGGAGGAUCGCGGCGGGUCACAUGGCUGGGGUAGGGGUGAAAUCCGGUAAUCCCAGCCCGGUGAACGAGAGCGAAGGCAGCCCGCCAGGACCUCCCCCCUGAUCAAGAACGAAAGUCUGGGGAUCGAAGAUGAUCAGAUACCAUCGUAGUCCAGACCCUAAACGAUGCCGGCCAUGGAUGGGCCCUCGUCCAUCCCGACCAGGCCCGGACCUUGUGGGAAACCAUAAGCGUUUGGGCUCCGGGGGGAGUAUGGUCGCAAGACUGAAACUUAAAGGAAUUG